rnacentral:misc_RNA from 1 species
AAGUCGUAACAAGGUUUCCGUAGGUGAACCUGCGGAAGGAUCAUUAUCACGUUAUCCACGUUAUCAACCAUUGUGAACUGUUGCGACCAUCUGAAAAUUAUUUUAUGAAAGAGUUGUUAUAGACAAACGUUUUUGUCAUUUUAUGACAAAACAAACAAUAGUGAUUUGAAAUUGUUUGAGUUUGUUUAUGGCCUACAACUUUCGGGUUGUCUUUCUAAAUUUUCGAUGAGUAUUAUUUUUCAAAUCAUUAAAUUAACAAUUUAAACCCAAUUCAAUUCAAUUUUGAACUGAAUUAAUUUCUUACUUUUUUUUUUUCAUUAAGAAAAAAGAAGAAAUAAUCUUACGAAACAUAAGAACAACUCUUAGCAACGGAUAUCUUGGUUCUC